rnacentral:rRNA from 1 species
AGAAUCAACGCUGGCGGCGUGCCUAACACAUGCAAGUCGAGCGGAAAGGCCCUUCGGGGUACUCGAGCGGCGAACGGGUGAGUAACACGUGAGCAACCUGCCCUUAGCUCUGGGAUAGCUCCGGGAAACCGGAAUUAAUACCGGAUAUUACAUCGGCCGACAUCGGCUGAUGUGGAAAGAUUUAUCGGCUAAGGAUGGACUCGCGGCCUAUCAGCUAGUUGGUGGGGUAGAAGCCUACCAAGGCGACGACGGGUAGCCGGCCUGAGAGGGCGACCGGCCACACUGGGACUGAGACACGGCCCAGACUCCUACGGGAGGCAGCAGUGGGGAAUCUUGCGCAAUGGGCGAAAGCCUGACGCAGCGACGCCGCGUGGGGGAUGAAGGCCUUCGGGUUGUAAACCCUUUCAGCAGGGACGAAGCGAAAGUGACGGUACCUGCAGAAGAAGCGCCGGCUAACUACGUGCCAGCAGCCGC